rnacentral:rRNA from 1 species
GAUCAUGGCUCAGGACGAACGCUGGCGGCAUGCCUAACACAUGCAAGGUCGAACGGGGGUAGCAAUACCCUAGUGGCGAACGGGUGAGUAACACAUAAGCAAUCUGCCCUUCACAGGGGGAUAACAGCGGGAAACUGCUGCUAAUACCGCAUAAGACCACGGUACCGCAUGGUACAGGGGUAAAAACGAAUCAGUGGUGAAGGAUGAGCUUAUGUCCCAUUAGCUAGUUGGUGAGAUAACAGCCCACCAAGGCGACGAUGGGUAGCCGACCUGAGAGGGUGAUCGGCCACACUGGAACUGAGACACGGUCCAGACUCCUACGGGAGGCAGCAGUGGGGAAUAUUGGGCAAUGGAGGAAACUCUUACCCAGCAAUGCCGCGUGGGUGAAGAAGGUCUUCGGAUUGUAAAGCUCUUUGAUUGGGGACGAAGAAAGUGACGGUACCCAAAGAACAAGCCCCGGCUAACUACGUGCCAGCCGCCGC